rnacentral:rRNA from 1 species
GCCUACGGGAGGCAGCAGUGGGGAAUAUUGGACAAUGGGCGCAAGCCUGAUCCAGCCAUGCCGCGUGAGUGACGAAGGCCUUAGGGUUGUAAAGCUCUUUUGGCGGGGACGAUAAUGACGGUACCCGCAGAAUAAGCCCCGGCUAACUUCGUGCCAGCAGCCGCGGUC